rnacentral:rRNA from 1 species
CCUACGGGUGGCAGCAGUGGGGAAUAUUGGACAAUGGGCGAAAGCCUGAUCCAGCCAUGCCGCGUGUGUGAAGAAGGCCUUCGGGUUGUAAAGCACUUUCAGUGGGGAAGAAAGCCUUGGGGCUAAUACCCUCGAGGAAGGACAUCACCCACAGAAGAAGCACCGGCUAACUCCGUGCCAGCAGCCGCGGUAAUACGGAGGGUGCGAGCGUUAAUCGGAAUUACUGGGCGUAAAGCGCGCGUAGGCGGUCUGAUAAGCCGGUUGUGAAAGCCCCGGGCUCAACCGUGGAACGGCAUCCGGAACUGUCAGGCUAGAGUGCAGGAGAGGAAGGUAGAAUUCCCGGUGUAGCGGUGAAAUGCGUAGAGAUCGGGAGGAAUACCAGUGGCGAAGGCGGCCUUCUGGACUGACACUGACGCUGAGGUGCGAAAGCGUGGGUAGCAAACAGGAUUAGAUACCCUGGUAGUC